UUUAUAUGACAGUUAUUAAGCAGGUCUUGAAUGAAGUCUUGAUUAUGGAGGAUCUGUUUGUAAAUUCCUGACAUGAAAAAGAAAAUGACAGAGGGAGAAGUCCAGGUCAAUGUUAGAAGGACAAUUCAGCAAAGUUCCAACAGAUAUAAAAUGAAAUCUGAUUUUGAGGCAAAUAUAUAUAUGUAAGAUGAAUAAAAGACAUGAUACUCUAGCAGUGCUUCAGAAUCACACUAUAGAAGUAUGAAGAAUUUUGAUUGUAAUCAAGUUAACCUGAAGAUGAAGAAGAAAUCAAAGAGUGGAGCCUUUAGAAGAUAGAACAUUCAAAUAUUAUUUGUUACUAUUUCAGUAAUUAUAACUUAUCGAAU